rnacentral:rRNA from 1 species
AUUGAACGCUGGCGGCAUGCUUUACACAUGCAAGUCGAACGGCAGCACGGGGGCAACCCUGGUGGCGAGUGGCGAACGGGUGAGUAAUAUAUCGGAACGUGCCCUAGAGUGGGGGACAACCAGUCGAAAGAUUGGCUAAUACCGCAUACGAUCUCUGGAUGAAAGUGGGGGACCGCAAGGCCUCACGCUCCUGGAGCGGCCGAUAUCUGAUUAGCUAGUUGGUGGGGUAAAGGCCUACCAAGGCGACGAUCAGUAGCUGGUCUGAGAGGACGGUCAGCCACACGGGGACUGAGACACGACCCAGACUCCUACGGGAGGCAGCAGUGGGGAAUUUUGGACAAUGGGGGCAACCCUGAUCCAGCAAUGCCGCGUGAGUGAAGAAGGCCUUCGGGUUGUAAAGCUCUUUUGUCAGGGAAGAAACGGUGGGGGUUAAUACCCUCUGCUAAUGACGGUACCUGAAGAAUAAGCACCGGCUAACUACGUGCCAGCAGCCGCGGUAA